rnacentral:rRNA from 1 species
ACUGCUAAACUUGAAUUAUUAGGAAGUAACUAGAAUAUGUAGUGUAGCGGUGAAAUGCUUAGAGAUUACAUGGAAUACCAAUUGCGAAGGCAGGUUACUACUAAUGGAUUGACGCUGAUGGACGAAAGCGUGGGUAGCGAACAGGAUUAGAUACCCUGGUAGUCCACGCCGUAAACGAUGGAUACUAGCUGUUGGAAGCAAUUUCAGUGGCUAAGCGAAAGUGAUAAGUAUCCCACCUGGGGAGUACGUUCGCAAGAAUGAAACUCAAAGGAAUUGACGGGGGCCCGCACAAGCGGUGGAGCAUGUGGUUUAAUUCGAUGAUACGCGAGGAACCUUACCAAGGCUUAAAUGUAGUUUGACCGAUUUGGAAACAGAUCUUUCGCAAGACAAAUUACAAGGUGCUGCAUGGUUGUCGUCAGCUCGUGCCGUGAGGUGUCAGGUUAAGUCCUAUAACGAGCGCAACCCCUGUUGUUAGUUGCCAGCGAGUCAUGUCGGGAACUCUAACAAGACUGCCAGUGCAAACUGUGAGGAAGGUGGGGAUGACGUCAAAUCAUCACGGCCCUUACGCCUUGGGCUACACACGUGCUACAAUGGCCGGUACAGAGAGCAGCCACUGGGCGACCAGGAGCGAAUCUAUAAAACCGGUCACAGUUCGGAUCGGAGUCUGCAACUCGACUCC